rnacentral:piRNA from 1 species
UGAUCAAUGGCUGAGUUUGGUCCGGAGCCC